UACGUAGGGUGCGAGCGUUAAUCGGAAUUACUGGGCGUAAAGCGUGCGCAGGCGGUGAUGUAAGACCGAUGUGAAAUCCCCGGGCUUAACCUGGGAACUGCAUUGGUGACUGCAUUGCUGGAGUAUGGCAGAGGGGGGUGGAAUUCCACGUGUAGCAGUGAAAUGCGUAGAGAUGUGGAGGAACACCGAUGGCGAAGGCAGCCCCC
rnacentral:rRNA from 1 species